CCCUUAGAUGUUCUGGGCCGCACGCGCGCUACACUGACGGAGGCAGCGAGCGUGUCCUUCGCCGGCAGGUGCGGGCAAUCUUGCGAGUCUCCGUCGUGCUGGGGAUAGAUGGUUGCAAUUGUCGAUCUUGAACGAGGAAUUCCUAGUAAGCGCGAGUCAUCAGCUCGCGCUGAUUACGUCCCUGCCCUUUGUACACACCGCCCGUCGCUACUACAGAGUGCCCGUGUCCAAGAAACGGUCGGAUCUGUGCGGCCUCUCCGGGCGACCGGAGGGCCGUUACGGGGAAGACCCUUUAUUUGACGCGGGUCGAUGAAGUAAAAGUCGUAACA
rnacentral:rRNA from 1 species